AUCAAAAACAUAGUCGACAGAUAAUUUUAACUUGAUAAAUAUUGUCGAUAUCUUCUGCCCAGUGUUUAAUAAUCAACGGCCGCAGUACCUUGACUGUGCUAAGGUAGCAUAAUCAAUUGGCUAUUAAUUGUAGUCUAGAAUGAAAGAAUUAAUGAAUAGACGCUAUAAUAAAAAAUAUUUUAUUAAUUUAUUUAUCUGGUGAAAAUACCAGUAAUAAGAAAAAAGACGAGAAGACCCUUAGAGUUUUGAAUAAUACUUGUUGCUAAGUUUUUUAUGUUAACAAACAUUGAAAAUGACAUGACAAAUACUUUUUUGUUGGGGCGACAAGAAAGCAUAUAACCUUUCUAAGAUCUAAUAAUCAAAAUGUGACGAUAUUUAUAUGAAUAAGUAAACUACCUUAGGGAUAACAGCAUAAUGAUAAAAAUUAGUUUGUGACCUCGAUGUUGGACUAGGGACUUACACACUAACCGUGAUAAAAGAUUGUUCUGUUCGAACAGUAAUCCCC
rnacentral:rRNA from 1 species